GUGAAUCAUCGAAUCUUUGAACGCAAAUGGCACUCUCUUCGGUGAGUAUGCCUGUUUGAGGGUCAGUAUUAAUAAAAAUCGGUGUGUUGCUUCUUUGUGAUGCUCCGGAGUGUGGGUCUUCUUAAUAUGCUUUAGGUUAUAAGAGGCUUAAAAUUGACUUAUUUCGCGCAUUUUAGAUGUACAUAAAUUAUUUUUUUUAUUCGUCUGUCUUAAUGCUCUAAUUUCUAUUAGAUGCGUCCAUAUCGU
rnacentral:misc_RNA from 1 species